AGCUUUGCGCAGUGGCAGUAUCAUAGCCAAUGAGGUUUAUCCGAGGCAUAAUUAUUGCUAAUUGAAAAGCUACGUAGGAGCUCACAGAAUCAAAGGAGCCGACUUGGAAAAGGUAGAAACCAGAGCCAUUUCAGAGACCCAGGAAGCGGG
rnacentral:snRNA from 1 species